rnacentral:misc_RNA from 1 species
AGUUAGAGAUGAAUGUCGAAUUAUCAACGAAGAUCUUCGUCUGACCGGAGCAGGGUUGUCAGAAACAGGUAAACUAGAAAUUCCAUACUGGAUGGAUGUUACCAAAUACGGGUGCUCAACUGAGAUUUGGUCCGAAGAUUGUGUUUCGGCAGGAGGCAUAUUUGGUGAUGGCUUGACUUCCAUGAUGACCGGAAAGUAAGACUGUUGGCCAUUCAUACUUGGCUGCUGACCAA